rnacentral:lncRNA from 1 species
UAGAGUUUAGGGUUUAGGGUUUUGUUGACAACAUGUUUAGUGUUUUUCCAAGGGUUUAGGGGUUUACCCAAGGAUUUAGGGUUUAGGAUUUGAGUUUAGGGUUUAGUAUUAGAGUUUAGGAUUUAGUGUUUUGUUGACAACAUUAUUUUUUUUUGAAUUCGUUUUUUAUAUAUUAUUUUUAUUUAUUUUUAAAUUUUAUUUUGAAAAAAAUAAUAUAAUUUGCCAAGUUAUUUGGUUUUCUUAAUUAAAAGAUACUAGAUUUAAAAUGACAAUUU